rnacentral:tRNA from 1 species
GGCAAGGUGGCAGAGUGGUUAUGCAGCGGCCUGCAAAGCCGUGGACGUCGGUUCGAUUCCGAUCCUUGCCUCGA